rfam:Pseudomonas brenneri strain RGCB 108 Contig002, whole genome shotgun sequence.
CAAGCGAAGCGGAUGUAUUCCAAAUCUGUUUAAAAAACGACCAGAAGCGGCUGGACUGCACGGGAUACUGAUCAAUACUUCAUCUGUCGGUGUGACAUCUCCCCCAAGUGACACACCGAUAUGGGUACCAACGGACCGCGUAUCCUUGUUUACUCCUAAUGGUCUUAGCCCGGAUUCACCCCCCAGAACCCGG